CACGUAGGGGGCGAGCGUUGUCCGGAUUUAUUGGGCGUAAAGAGCGUGUAGGCGGCCACUUAAGUCCUGCGUGAAAUCUUGCGGCUCAACCGCAAGCGGUCGUGGGAAACUGGGUGGCUAGAGUGCGGGAGAGGAGAGUGGAAUUCCUGGUGUAGCGGUGGAAUGCGCAGAUAUCAGGAAGAACACCCGUGGCGAAGGCGGCUCUCUGGAACGCAACUGACGCUGAGACGCGAAAGCGUGGGGAGCAAACAGG
rnacentral:rRNA from 1 species